rnacentral:misc_RNA from 1 species
UGGGAGAAAGAGAGAGAGAGAGGAUUACAGUCUCUUCUCAUCCACAUCUCUCAUCUCAUAAACUCAAUCUUUUCCUUCUCAUUUUUUGUUGCAAGAGAAAAAAACUAGUAACACCUUGUUUGUUUUGUUGAUGCCAAAGUCAAGAACAAAUAUUAUUGAACCUAAUUUUUAGGUUCAAACAACUUAAUUUUGCCUCUAUAUAAAAGAGUCAACAAGCAUAACAUGUCCAUUGUAACUUGUGAAGAAGCUGCUGCAAGUUUAUCUUCUUCUUCCAACAUGAAUAAUGAUACUAAUGGAGCCUUUUGCUAUCCACCUCAACAUCAAUUAGUUACUCAACAAAUCAAGAAAAAGAGAAACCAACCAGGCAAUCCAGAUCCAGAAGCAGAAGUGAUAGCUUUAUCACCCAAGACACUAGUGGCAACCAACAGAUUCUUUUGUGAAAUUUGUAACAAAGGGUUUCAAAGAGAUCAAAAUCUACAACUCCAUAGAAGAGGACACAAUUUGCCAUGGAAGUUAAAGAAGAGAGAAAAUAAAGAAGUAGUGAGGAAGAAAGUGUAUAUUUGUCCAGAGUCGAGCUGUGUGCACCAUGAUCCGUCUAGGGCAUUAGGAGAUCUUACUGGAAUUAAGAAGCAUUUUAGCAGAAAACAUGGUGAGAAGAAGUGGAAA